rnacentral:rRNA from 1 species
GACGAACGCUGGCGGCGUGCUUAACACAUGCAAGUCGAACGGGCCCGCCCCUGUUUUUGGGGGUGGGUUGAGUGGCGAACGGGUGAGUAUCACGUGAGUAACCUGCCCCCUGCUCCUGGAUAACUGCUUGAAAGGGCGGCUAAUACGGGGUGUGCCGGCUGGUCCGCAUGGGCCUGGUCGGGAUAGUUUCAUCUUCGGGUGUUUCGGUGGGGGAUGGGCUCGCGGCCUAUCAGCUUGUUGGUGGGGUGAUGGCCCACCAAGGCGGUGACGGGUAGCCGGCCUGAGAGGGAGGGCGGCCACACGGGGACUGGGACACGGCGCAGACGCGUGCGGGAGGCAGCAGUGGGGGGUAUUGCACAAUGGGCGGAAGCCUGAUGCAGCGACGGCGCGUGAGGGAUGGAGGCCGUCGGGUUGUGAACCUCUUUCUCCGGUGGUGAAGGCCCUGUCCGUUGCGGCGGGGUUGACGGUAGCCGGGUAUGAAGCGCCGGCUAACUACGUG